GCGGCCCGAAGCGGGGGCCCCGCUGUGAGCCAGCGCUGCCCCCGGGGGCUGGGGGCGGCGAGUCCCCUCAGGGGGCGGUGGCGGGGCCGGGCUCGGGCUGCGAGCUUCCCUCCCGCUUCCCUCCCGCGUCCCUCCGCAGGGGUCCGGCGCAGCGACCCGGUGACCCGCCGUGCCAGCCCGCGGCCUCCGCGCUACCUGAGCCAAUGCUAGAUCUGGAGGUGGUGCCCGAGCGGUCUCUGGGGAACGAGCAAUGGGAGUUCACCUUAGGAAUGCCGUUGGCUCAGGCUGUAGCAAUUCUUCAGAAACACUGUCGCAUUAUCAAAAACGUCCAGGUUCUCUACAGUGAGCAGUCACCUCUUAGCCAUGACCUCAUCCUUAACCUGACUCAGGAUGGAAUCAAACUGCUGUUUGAUGCUUUCAAUCAGAGACUUAAGGUGAUUGAAGUUUAUGACUUGACUAAGGUGAAGUUAAAAUAUUGUGGUGUCCAUUUUAACUCUCAGGCAAUUGCUCCAACCAUAGAACAAAUUGAUCAGUCAUUUGGAGCAACACAUCCAGGAGUGUAUAACUCAGCUGAGCAACUCUUUCACCUCAAUUUCAGAGGACUGUCGUUUUCUUUUCAGUUAGACUCCUGGACUGAAACCCCGAAGUACGAGCCUAACUUUGCCCACGGUCUGGCCUCUCUGCAAAUUCCACAUGGCGCGACUGUGAAACGCAUGUACAUCUACAACGGAAACAGUCUGCAGGACACCAAGGCUCCCUUGAUGCCUCUCAGCUGUUUCCUUGGGAAUGUGUAUGCUGAGAACGUCGAUGUUUUGCGAGAUGGAACUGGACCCUCAGGUUUACGGCUUCGCCUACUCACUGCAGGCUGUGGCCCAGGUGUUUUAGCCGAUGCCAAGAUGCGGGUAUUUGAGCGCUGCGUGUACUUCGGUGAUUCCUGCCAGGAUGUGCUCAGCACCUUGGGCUCUCCACACAAAGUCUUCUACAAGUCGGAAGACAAGAUGAAAAUCCAUUCGCCCUCGCCCCAUAAGCAGGUCCCAUCAAAGUGCAAUGACUACUUCUUCAAUUAUUUCACACUUGGAGUGGAUAUUCUAUUUGAUGCAAACACUCACAAGGUGAAAAAAUUUGUCCUGCAUACAAAUUAUCCUGGUCAUUACAACUUCAACAUUUACCACCGCUGUGAAUUCAAGAUUCCACUCAUCAUUAAGAGAGAUAGUGCUGAUUCACAGACAGAAACAUGUACAACAUACAGCAAGUGGGACAGUAUUCAGGAUCUACUGGGGCACCCUGUAGAGAAGCCAGUGGUACUUCACAGAGAGUAGUUCAACCAGAGAGCGCUUUACUGAGCACAUCUCAAAUGGCUCAGACAUGCAAUUUGAAAAACUGACCAGUUUACAAGAAAGGACAAAAGGUCAUCAUCUCCGAACAACACUAACCCAUUUGGGUCAACCUUUUGCUUUGGACUGCAGCGAAUGAUCUUUGAGGUGAUGCAGAAUAAUCACAUAGCUUCUGUUACUCUGUAUGGCCCCACACGGCCCAGCAGCCAGUUGAGAACGUCGGACCUUCCCCAGUGAGCAUCCCCUGCAAACCUUUCCACCCAGGAGCGGUGUGGAGAGGAAAUUCUCUCAACCCUUCAUCAUGGGGCGUGGAACUGUUGAUGGAGGAAAGCAGCUUGGGUGCCUGUGCCGUCAUUUAUUCCUCUCCGUUGCCCUCAUCCUAUGCAGCACAGACCUGAAGAGACUGUCCCUCCUUCUCAGCUGGCAGAAGGGGGAAAUGGAAGAGGGGCACGUAAUGACUGCAAGAAUUAGAAGCACAAACUUUCUGAGCCUUGGAGCAUCUGGAAGCAGGUAUUGAUUUUAGUCUGUUUGUGUUACUGUAUUGAUGUGGUGGUCACAUUUUAAGAAAACGUGUGUGUAUAUAUAUAUAGAUCUAAACACCUCGGUAUUUCUGUGGCUUAGGACAUUGUACCAAGUGUGACAAGGAUGUAUAUAUGUCCAUGAUUUCAGGCACCACAUCUUUGUGUAACUUUAAACCAAGCAAGUAGCAUGUGCAUAAUACUUGGUUGUAACAUUUGCACUACAUACACUUUAAUUACUUGAUAAACGUUUAUCUUCACUGAGGAGCAUCUGUGUACUGGGAGUGAGUGGGGUGUGGUGGUUAUUUAAUGUACACUGCGCAUAAAGCUUAUUUAUACAGUGGAUCAAAUUUAUCCACCUUCCUGCACUAAUAUGUACUUGAUAUGCUGAUACAAUUUUUUUCUGUCAUGGCUGGUUUACUAAUUUUUUUUCAUAUGCAAUUUUGAAAGAAAAAAAAAAAAAACUUCUGGAAGGGGUUAUUUCUAGGAUUGAAUUAUGUUUUAAUGAAAAGAUUUGAUACAAUUUUUCAUACUAGUGAAAAAUUUAACGAAGAAAUAAUGUUGCCUCAUUUGCCUCUGUUCCAAAAUCCUUUAUUCCUACUCUAUUUCCUCAGAGAAAGGAAAGCUGUAUAUAAUGGUAUCUCAGAAAUUCUGGAAUUCCGCCAUCACCAAGAUAACCUUUCUGUAACUUUUGAUGUGUGAUUUUAAUUUAUGCCAAAGGUUUAGCCAAAGACAUCCUCGAUGUAGUUUCACCAUUUCUGUACAUAUAUGCUAACUGCACACCCCACCCCAGCAGACAGGAUAUAGGCUUCUUUCUAGUUGGGAGAUGCUGCUCGCGACAUUUUAUCCCAGGAGGAUACUUUAGGUUUCUAGUUCUCUUACCAGUCUUAUUUGGGAGAAAUAGGUGGUCUGUCUUUGAAAUAAUGAACCCUUUUUAAAAAUGGACAAGAGAAAUGUAUAAUUUUAUCCCAUUUUUAAUAUUUUGGUGUCGCAACUUGUGAUACAUAGAUGACAAUUUUGUGAGUUUUACUAUGUGUGUACAGAUUUUUGUAAAUAUGACAUUUUUGUAAUUUUAACUCCAUGUACAGUGUAAUCCUGUAUAGUUUAUCAAUGAAUGAGAGAUAGGAAAUCGAAUGUUAACUGAAGUUUUGGAUCCUGGACCAGUAGCAGGGAUAAAUGUGUGUGUGUGUGUGAGACGUUCUUUGCCAUUUAGUCUUCCUGUAUACUGUGAUACUCUAAACUGUUUUGCUAAAACAAACAAAAAAGCCCCAUGGAGAAUCUAAUGGAUAAGGAAAAAGUUACUGUUUACCUUUAUCCCUAGGUGUCACUCCUGUUGAAUCCCUGUUCAAUCUGUGCUGUCUCCUGUGAUCGUUGCUUGCUAAGAAAAUUCUAUGCCUCAAUCUUCCUUUUUGUUUCCUCUCUAAUUUUAAUUUCAUUUUACAUAGCCCUUCUGUAAAUUAAAUGGAAUAAUUAUGAGCAUGUACACUGAAAGAAAAAUAAAAAGAGACUCUCAGUUACUGUUUUUGUGUUAAAUACAGUUGCUGGGUGUUUUUGUAAUAAAAUCAUGGAUGUUUUUGCUUUUUA